rnacentral:rRNA from 1 species
UACGUAGGGUGCGAGCGUUAAUCGGAAUUACUGGGCGUAAAGGGCGCGUAGGCGGCGCAACAAGUCACUUGUGAAAUCUCCGGGCUUAACCCGGAGCGGCCAAGUGAUACUGUCGUGCUAGAGUGCGGAAGGGGCUACUGGAAUUCUCGGUGUAGCGGUGAAAUGCGUAGAUAUCGAGAGGAACACCUGCGGCGAAGGCGGGUAGCUGGGCCGACACUGACGCUGAUGCGCGAAAGCCAGGGGAGCGAACGGG